rnacentral:ribozyme from 1 species
CUCGAUUUGUCCAAAAGGUCAUCGUUUGGUACAGUGGAUGGCAUGGAUACAAGCACAAUCACGACGGAGAAUACUACGGGGGGGAGUAAAGUACUACUACCCCAUCACCAUCAUCAUCUGAGGAAGA